CCAGACUAGCCCAGUUUUACAUUCCAAGUAUAAACCCGUACUAGCUCAGCUUAACGUUCCAAAUAUCAACCCAGACUAGCCCAGCUUUACUUUCCGAGUAUAAACCCAGACUAGCCCAGCUUUCCGUUCCAAGUAAAAACCCAGACUAGCCCAGCUUUACUUUCCGAGUAUAAACCAAGACUAGCCCAGCUUUACUUUCCGAGUAUAAACCAAGACUAGCCCAGCUUUACUUUCCGA